rnacentral:snRNA from 1 species
ACAAAUACAUAAAAACUUUA